rnacentral:rRNA from 1 species
UACGUAGGGUGCAAGCGUUAUCCGGAAUUAUUGGGCGUAAAGAGCUCGUAGGCGGUUUGUCGCGUCUGCUGUGAAAACUGGCGGCUCAACCUCCAGCCUGCAGUGGGUACGGGCAGACUAGAGUGCGGUAGGGGAGAUUGGAAUUCCUGGUGUAGCGGUGGAAUGCGCAGAUAUCAGGAGGAACACCGAUGGCGAAGGCAGAUCUCUGGGCCGUAACUGACGCUGAGGAGCGAAAGCAUGGGGAGCGAACAGG